GUGCUCACUUCAGCAGCACAUAUAUUAAAAGUGGAACAAUACAGAGAAGAUUAGCAUGGCCCCUGUGCAAGGAUGACAACGCAAAUUCGUGAAGCAUUCCAUAUUUUU
ensembl:snRNA U6 U6 spliceosomal RNA